ACACCUCCACGGUGUGACCCUUCUCAGCAAAUUCUCUGCUACCAUCCCGGUCAUAUGCUGCCACUAACCAGCAUCAUAUCGUGCUUGGUUGUUGUCGUAGCAUCCUAACUAGCCUUCCUGCGUCCGUCCUUGUUGCCUUAACGAUUUUUGCGGUCGGAGAUGUCCCUUCAGAGACGGUUGAAUCAAGUCAUUUUUCUGCUGAGAAGUCUUCAAUAGUUUCCUGUCUUGCUCAGAGGAAAGUGUGAAAUCGGCAGUCUGUCGCAGACCUGAGAUUCCAAGUAACUCUGACAGAUGGUGUGCUGGGAUACAGAAGCCGAGCCCCUAAAAAAAUUCCUCAGCGGUAAAUGUGGGAAUGAAACAAAACACGAGCAGCCGAGUGAAGAAUGAAAUGGCUGCGAUAUCAAGUCAACAACCUGUAAUACCGCUGCUGUGGGAGAUCAGAGUCUGACGGGCAAUGGAGGCUAGCAAAGAGCUGUGUGUGUGUUGGGGGCAGUCUUCCAGAAGGAACUCUGGAUGAAUGGGAAACUGCUGUAUGUAACGUUUUAGUUUACUUGAGGGAUUAGGCAUUUCUUUGUUCGCGUGGACAGUAAGGCAGUGAGGGCAUUCAUCUGCAGCUGCCAUAAACCGGGGGAUGGAGUGCCUUGGAAUAGCAUUAUGGAGAAGGAGGAAGGGAAAAUAAGGAAAGAAAGAUAAUGAUGAUGAUUCAGUAAAAUGAGUGAACCAGAAGGAAAGCAGAGACCCAGUUUACGCCUGAUUUAUGUGAUGAGAAUGACAUAGUAAUUUUCUUUGCCAGAUCAAGGUCAUUGAAGAAGAAUGCAUUCAAAAGAACAUAAAUGCUGUGUUCUGGAAAACUUGGGUCGCUUGAAUAUGGAAAGAUGGCUUAAAACUAGCAUGAAUGUGUGAAGGGUGCUUGCCCAACCACAAAGGGUCAGAGGCGAAAAGACACUUCCCAACCUCUUACGUAAUCCACACGCAAUCAAGCACAAUUGUUAGCAAAAGAAGAGAAGAGACAGAGACACACAGGAGAAGACGGUCCUGUGGAGAUGGUGGCAGGGACUGAGCCUUGCGGAGAAGCAAGGAGGCAUUCUUCCCUAGAGGUUCAGAGGGAGCGGGGCCCUGCCAACGCCUUGAUUUUGAACUUCUAGACUCCAGAAUUGUGAGAGGGAGCCAACCAGUAGGGGGGACAAGAGACAGACCCAAUCCAGCAUGAAAUAGAGGACUCUGUUGUUUUGUUCCUCAAAGUACGGACCAAGAAGCAGCAGCCUUUCUGGGAACCUGUUCGAGAUGCACAAUUUCAGACCCCAUCCCGGACCCAAGACCUAAUUGCCCUUGAGGUGAUUGCAGCCCAAACUCUGUGACCUGGCAGUCAACCUGUGCCAGCCCUUUCCAUGUGCUGGGCUCCAGUCUAAAAGUUACACACUAGGUUAACCCGCUUAAUCCACACACCAGCCUGCGAGGAAGGCUCCAACAUGCAGGAGGCAGGACUAGAGAAGAGAGCGUGGCACUCAAGGUCCAGCUCUGAAGAAAAUAAUCUAGUGAAGCCAUGGACCUUGAACACCAGAAUGCCUUCCAACAGAAACUCCCUUUUCACUGUCAUGAGAAAGAGAUCUCUCGGGAGGUGUAAGAGAGAAAGAAGAUAAAGCCUUUCCUCCCUCCUGUUGAACAUUCUGGGAGAUCGAUGUUUUGCGGGCCAGCAAGACUGGAAAAAAGGAAAAGAGUGGCUUCCUCUGAUAUCACCCUGACCCCUGUAUACAUUGAAGGUAAAUAUAAACUACUACAUCGGUUUCAGAAGAAGGUAAAGACCACUGCAGUAGAGUGAAUAUCCCUAUAAAUUGAGUCAAAUGUAUUUUUUAGUUUCCAGUGCAUAUAAAAGUCAUAUGUACAAUAUACUGUAGUCUAUUAAGUGUGCAAUAGCAUUAUGUCUAAAAAAAUGUACAUACCUUAAUUAAAAAUUCUUUAUAGCUAAAAAAUACUAACCAUCAUCUGAGCUUUCAGUGAGUCAUAAUCCCUGGUAAACAAUCACCAUGACAAAUACAAUAAUAAAGAAAAAGCUUGAAAUAUUGCAGGAAUUACUAAAAUGUGACAGAGACACAAAAUGAGCACAUGUCUAUAAACUGGCUCCAUGAAGGAUUAUGGAAGAUUGCCACAAACCUGCCUUAUUUAUUUGUUUAUUUAUUUAAUUUACUUUAAUUUCUAAAUUUUUUUAAAUGCUUAUUUAUUUUUGAGAGAGAGAGAAAGACAGAGCAUGAGCAGGGGAGGGGCAGAGAGAGAAGGAGACACAGAAUCUGAAGCAGCCUCCGGGCUCUGAGCUGUCAGCACAGAGCCCAAUGGGGGGUUGGAACUCACAAACCGCGAGAUCAUGACCUGGGCCAAAAUCGGACCCUCAAGCGACUGAGCCAACCAGGUGCCCCAAACCUGCCAUUUUCAAAAACCACAAUAUCUGCAAAGUGCAAGACAGUAAAGCACAGUAAAAUGAUGUAUACCACUAUUUCCAAUGAUAAAAUUUAUUCCUCUGUAUUUCUAUUAUUUGGUUACACGAUUGUGUCUUUGUUAAACUAUGAUCCCCUUAAAGUCAAGGAUGGCAUCUUCUUCAUUCUUACAUCUCCAGUUAGACACAGGCCUAGUAAAUAUUUUUGCAUGACCAGAAAUACACAUCAUACCAUGAAAAUCAUAAUUAAACUCAUUAGGAGUAUUUCAAACAUGACAUCCAAUAUGAUGUCACUAAG